CAAAGGUAGCAUAAUCAUUAGUUUUUUAAUUGGAAACUGGUAUGAAGGGUUGGACAAAGGAAGGACUGUCUUUAAAAUAUAAGUUGAAAUUUACUUUUAAGUGAAAAGGCUUAAAUAUAUCUAAGGGACGAUAAGACCCUAUAAAGCUUUAUAUAUUAUUUAAAUUUGGUUGAUUUAUAAAAUAAAAACUAGGUUUGAUUAUUUUAUUUUGUUGGGGCGACAUAAGUAUAAUUUAUAUUAACUGCUUAGAAAAUAUACAAUUAUAAGUGAUUUAAAUGUGCAUGAUCCUAUUUAAAGAUUAAAAGACUAAGUUACUUUAGGGAUAACAGCGUUAUUUCUUUUGAGAGUCCAUAUCGAAAAAGAAGUUUGCGACCUCGAUGUUGAAUUAAAAUAUCUAUAUAAUGCAGCCGUUAUAAGAGAAGGUCUGUUCGACCUUUAAAUUUUUACAUGAUUUGAGUUCA
rnacentral:rRNA from 1 species